rnacentral:rRNA from 1 species
GACGAACGCUGGCGGCGUGCCUAAUACAUGCAAGUCGAACGCAUUUUCUUUCACCGUAGCUUGCUACACCGAAAGAAAAUGAGUGGCGAACGGGUGAGUAACACGUCGGUAACCUGCCCAUCAGCGGGGGAUAACACUUGGAAACAGGUGCUAAUACCGCAUAAUUCCAUUUACCGCAUGGUAGAUAGCUGAAAGGCGCUUUUGCGUCACUUAUGGAUGGACCCGCGGUGCAUUAGCUAGUUGGUGGGGUAACGGCCUACCAAGGCUGCGAUGCAUAGCCGACCUGAGAGGGUGAUCGGCCACACUGGGACUGAGACACGGCCCAGACUCCUACGGGAGGCAGCAGUAGGGAAUCUUCGGCAAUGGACGCAAGUCUGACCGAGCAACGCCGCGUGAGGGAAGAAGGUUGUCGGAUCGUAAAACUCUGUUGUUAGAAAAGAACAAGGAUGAGAGUGGAAAGUUCAUCCCUUGACGGUAUCUAACCAGAAAGCCACGGCUAACUACGUG